rnacentral:rRNA from 1 species
GACGAACGCUGGCGGCGUGCUUAACACAUGCAAGUCGAACGGAAAGGCCCUGCUUUUGUGGGGUGCUCGAGUGGCGAACGGGUGAGUAACACGUGAGUAACCUGCCCUUGACUUUGGGAUAACUUCAGGAAACUGGGGCUAAUACCGGAUAGGAGCUCCUGCUGCAUGGUGGGGGUUGGAAAGUUUCGGCGGUUGGGGAUGGACUCGCGGCUUAUCAGCUUGUUGGUGGGGUAGUGGCUUACCAAGGCUUUGACGGGUAGCCGGCCUGAGAGGGUGACCGGCCACAUUGGGACUGAGAUACGGCCCAGACUCCUACGGGAGGCAGCAGUGGGGAAUAUUGAAAAAUGGGCGGAAGCCUGAUGCAGCAACGCCGCGUGCGGGAUGACGGCCUUCGGGUUGUAAACCGCUUUCGCCUGUGACGAAGCGUGAGUGACGGGAAUGGGUAAAGAAGCACCGGCUAACUACGUG